GAUGAACGCUGGCGGCGUGCCUAAUACAUGCAAGUCGAGCGAACAGACGAGGAGCUUUCUCCUCUGACGUUAGCGGCGGACGGGUGAGUAACACGUGGAUAACCUACCUAUAAGACUGGGAUAACUUCGGGAAACCGGAGCUAAUACCGGAUAAUAUAUUGAACCGCAUGGUUCAAUAGUGAAAGACGGUUUUGCUGUCACUUAUAGAUGGAUCCGCGCCGCAUUAGCUAGUUGGUAAGGUAACGGCUUACCAAGGCAACGAUGCGUAGCCGACCUGAGAGGGAGAUCGGCCAGCCUGGAAGUGAGAAACGGUACAGACUCCGACGGGAGGCAGCAGUAGGGAAUCUUCCGCGAUGGGGGAGAGCCGGACGGAGCAACACCGCGUGAGUGAUGAAGGUCUUAGGAUCGUAAAACGCUGUUAUUAGGGAAGAAGAAAUGUGUUAGUAACUAUGAACGUAUUGACGGUACCUAAUCAGAAAGCCACGGCUAACUUCGUG
rnacentral:rRNA from 1 species